GAACGCACCUUGCGCCUUUUGGUAUUCCGAAAGGCACACCUGUUUGAGCGUCAUGAAUACCUCAAUCUCCAUCUUUUCUUCGGAUUGAUGGGUGACUUGGAUGUUGAGCCCUGCUGGUAUGCUAUAUCAGCUGGCUUUAAACUUAUUAGCCGGCUCUGUACUGGAUCGGUUUGACUCGACGUGAUAAUAUUAUCGUUGAGGAUGCGUGUCUCAUGCAGCCGGAAAGUAUCAAAGCAGCUUCUAGCUUGCCUUUAGUGCACUUUUACAUUUUAGACCUCAGAUCAGGUGGGACUACCCGCUGAACUUAAG
rnacentral:misc_RNA from 1 species